AAUAGAAAAUUAUGAACAGGUAGGUCAUUGUGAUUCCUGUCCAGUCAAGCCUUCGAUUAUAACUGACUUGGGAUUCUUACCUGGAGGGCCCUUCUCCCUACGUUGAAGCUCUUCUAGUCGGAAAGUUAUCAAACGAUCCCAGUUUCCUCCUUCAAACAGAACUGCUGCCUUUCCGUCAGUGAUUCUCUGAACAAUGCCACAGUACAUAUAGUAUGGGCUGUUUGAAUUACUUACAAUGGCAAUCAUACCAGGCAUAAGCAAUGGUAAUUCAGGUGCUUUUGGCUUCUUUGAGGUAGCAAUCUCCAGUAUUCUGACUGAAUCAAUAGCUGACUGUUUUUUAGGGGGUGGGUUUUCCUCUAUGAACUUUUUCAAUCCCUUUUCUCCACCAGGAAAUCCUCCUGUUAACCCCAUCAGCUCCUUUUCAAAAGCAUUUUCAGGUACAUUUUCAUUUUCUGAUGCUUGUGCGGCAGCCCCUGAAUUUUCUUCUUGAGCAGCUACUGAAGAUGAUGAUGCUUCAGCAGCAUCUCUCUUUAGCUCUUGUUGAAUUCCUUGUUCUCCAUUGCAGAGUCCUCUUCCUCCCAGGAACUCAAAUAAGUCGAAUUUGGCACAUGGUUUUAGCUUAAACCUUGACUCCUUAGGAAUCGAGGAAUAUGGCCUGUUAGGGCGAUUGAGGAGGCUGUUAUUUUGGC
rnacentral:lncRNA from 1 species